AGCGCAGGCGGUUUGUUAAGUCUGAUGUGAAAGCCCACGGCUCAACCGUGGAACGGCAUUGAAAACUGGCAAACUUGAGUAUAGAAGAGGAAAGUGGAAUUCCAUGUGUAGCGGUGAAAUGCGUAGAUAUAUGGAGGAACACCAGUGGCGAAGGCGACUUUCUGGUCUAUAACUGACGCUGAGGCUCGAAAGCGUGGGGAGCGAACA
rnacentral:rRNA from 1 species